AUUGAACGCUGGCGGCAGGCCUAACACAUGCAAGUCGAGCGGAUGAAGGGAGCUUGCUCCUGGAUUCAACGGCGGACGGGUGAGUAAUGCCUAGGAAUCUGCCUGGUAGUGGGGGAUAACGUCCGUAAACGGGCGCUCAUACCGCAUACGUCCUGAUGGAGAAAGUGGGGGAUCUUCGGACCUCACGCUAUCUGAUGAGCCUAGGCCGGAUUAGCUAGUUGGUAGGGUAAAGGCCUACCAAGGCGACGAUCCGUAACUGGCCUGAGAGGGUGAUCAGUCACACUGGAACUGAGACACGGUCCAGACUCCUACGGGAGGCAGCAGUAGGGAAUCUUCCGCAAUGGGCGAAAGCCUGACGGAGCAACGCCGCGUGGGUGAUGAAGGUCUUCGGAUUGUAAAACUCUUUUAUUAGGGAAGAAAAAAUGUGUAAGUAACUAUUCCCGUUUUGACGGUACCUAAUCAGAAAGCCACGGCUAACUUCGUG
rnacentral:rRNA from 1 species